rnacentral:lncRNA from 1 species
GUCGUUGUACUUAUAAUAUACAGGAGAACGAUCGCCUUACGGCAAGGAUAGCUGUGCUGCAAGCCCAGCUUCGACGCGAUCGUUAGGCAAGGGUAAUUUCAGUGUAGGAAAGGAUGAAACAGCGUCUGUGCCACCAGACCUGAGCCCUAGGACCAUGCCUCAGGACUACCUGGUAUGAUGACUCCUUGCUGUCCCCAGUCCACCUGGCCGUGCUGCUGCUCCAGUUUCAACUGUUCUGCCUGCGGCUAUGGAACCCUGACCUGUUCACCGGACGUGCUUGUUGCACCCUCGACAACUACUAUGAUUAUUAUUAUUUGACCAUGCUGGUCAUUUAUGAACAUUUUAACAUUUUAACAUUUUGACCAUGUUCUGUUAUAAUAUCCACCCUGCACAGCCAGAAGAGGACUGGCCACCCCUCAUAGCCUGGUUCCUCUCUAGGUUUCUUCCUAGGUUUUGGCAUUUCUAGGGAGUUUUUCCUAGCCACCCCUCAUAGCCUGGUUCCUCUCUAGGUUUCUUCCUAGGUUCUGGCCUUUCUAGGGAGUUUUUCCUAGCCACCGUGCUUCUACACCUGCAUUGCUUGCUGUUUGGGGUUUUAGGCUGGGUUUCUGUACAGCACUUUGAGAUAUCAGCUGAUGUAAGAAGGGCAAUAUAAAUACAUUUGAUUUGAUUUGAAUACUGAUUUUGGACAUGUGAGUGUCGCACUUGCUUCUUUCGGUCUCAAACAUAUCUUUCAUGGUUUGCAGAUAGAGGUCUUGAGUACGGAGCAAGUGAUUCAGUGAUGAGAUUUCCUCCACUUGCUUAGAAAUCAAUAUUUCCAUCUUCAUCACCUGAGUGCUCUCAUCAUUCAUUUGGUCAGCGAUUUCAAUUAGUUCUGCUGAUCUGUCAUCCAACUUAGUCAUUGUGUUCAUUAACCUGUUAUGGCUAGGGGGCAGUAUUUUCACGGCUGGAUAAAAAACGUACCCGAUUUAAUCUGGUUACUACUCCUGCCCAGUAACUAGAAUAUGCAUAUAAUUAUUGGCUUUGGAUAGAAAACACCCUAAUGUUUCUAAAACUGUUUGAAUGGUGUUUGUGAGUAUAACAGAACUCAU